rnacentral:misc_RNA from 1 species
GAUGAAGAACGUAGCGAAAUGCGAUAAGUAAUGCGAAUUGCAGAAUUCAGUGAAUCAUCGAAUCUUUGAACGCACAUUGCGCCCGCUAGUAUUCUGGCGGGCAUGCCUGUCUGAGCGUCAUUUCAACCCUCGCCCCCGGCUUUUGCUGGGAGCGGUGUUGGGGAUCGGCCGCCCGUCACUGGGAGGCCGGCCCCGAAAUAGAGUGGCGACCACGCCGUGUGCUCCUCUGCGUAGUAGUAAAUCACCUCGCAGGCGGACAGCGGUGCGGCCUGCCGUAAAACCCCCAACUCUUUCUGGUUGACCUCAGAUCAGGUAGGAAUACCCGCUGAACUUAAGCAUAUCAAUAAGCGGAGA